GUGGCCAAGUUUUUAAGGGCGCACGGUGGAUGCCUUGGCACCAGGAACCGAUGAAGGACGUGGGAGGCCACGAUAGUCCCCGGGGAGCCGUCAACCAGGCUUUGAUCCGGGGGUUUCCGAAUGGGGAAACCCGGCAGUCGUCAUGGGCUGUCACCCAUGCCUGAACACAUAGGGCAUGUGGAGGGAACGAGGGGAAGUGAAACAUCUCAGUACCCUCAGGAAGAGAAAACAACCGUGAUUCCGGGAGUAGUGGCGAGCGAAACCGGAUGAGGCCAAACCGUAUGCGUGUGAGACCCGGCAGGGGUUGCGCAUGCGGGGUUGUGGGAUCUCUCUUUCACAGUCUGCCGGCUGUGAGGCGAGUCAGAAACCGUAUGGAUAGGCGAAGGACAUGCGAAAGGUCCGGCGUAGAGGGUAAGACCCCCGUAGCCGAAAUCUGUACGGCUUGCUUGAGAGACACCCAAGUAGCACGGGGCCCGAGAAAUCCCGUGUGAAUCUGGCGGGACCACCCGCUAAGCCUAAAUAUUCCCUGGUGACCGAUAGCGGAUAGUACCGUGAGGGAAUGGUGAAAAGUACCGCGGGAGCGGAGUGAAAUAGUACCUGAAACCGUGUGCCUACAAGCCGUGGGAGCGUCGGGAUGUGCUUGCACAUCCUCGUGACUGCGUGCCUUUUGAAGAAUGAGCCUGCGAGUUUGCGGUGUGUUGCGAGGUUAACCCGUGUGGGGAAGCCGUAGCGAAAGCGAGUCCGAACAGGGCGCUUUUAGUAGCACGCUCAAGACCCGAAGCGGAGUGAUCUAGCCAUGGGCAGGUUGAAGCGGAGGUAAGACUUCGUGGAGGACCGAACCCACCAGGGUUGAAAACCUGGGGGAUGACCUGUGGUUAGGGGUGAAAGGCCAAUCAAACUCCGUGAUAGCUGGUUCUCCCCGAAAUGCAUUUAGGUGCAGCGUCGUGUGUUUCUUGCCGGAGGUAGAGCACUGGAUAGGCGAUGGGCCCUACCGGGUUACUGACCUUAGCCAAACUCCGAAUGCCGGUAAGUGAGAGCGCGGCAGUGAGACUGUGGGGGAUAAGCUCCAUGGUCGAGAGGGAAACAGCCCAGAGCAUCGACUAAGGCCCCUAAGCGUACGCUAAGUGGGAAAGGAUGUGGAGUCGCAGAGACAACCAGGAGGUUGGCUUAGAAGCAGCCACCCUUGAAAGAGUGCGUAAUAGCUCACUGGUCAAGUGAUUCCGCGCCGACAAUGUAGCGGGGCUCAAGCGUACCGCCGAAGUCGUGUCAUUGCAGUAACAGGGCCAACGCCCGCUGUGAUGGGUAGGGGAGCGUCGUGUGCCGGGUGAAGCAGCCGCGGAAGCGAGUUGUGGACGGUUCACGAGUGAGAAUGCAGGCAUGAGUAGCGAUACACACGUGAGAAACGUGUGCGCCGAUUGACUAAGGGUUCCUGGGUCAAGCUGAUCUGCCCAGGGUAAGUCGGGACCUAAGGCGAGGCCGACAGGCGUAGUCGAUGGACAACCGGUUGAUAUUCCGGUACCCGCUUUGAAACGCCCAAUAUCGAGCCCAUCAAUGCUAAGGCCGUGAAGCCGCCCCGGAGCCUUCGGGCAAAGGGGAGUGGUGGAGCCGCCGACCCAAGGUGGUAGUAGGUAAGCGAUGGGGUGACGCAGGAAGGUAGUCCAGCCCGGGCGGUGGUUGUCCCGGGGUAAGGGUGUAGGGCGCUGUCUAGGCAAAUCCGGACGGCAUGAAGCCUGAGACCUGAUGCCGAGCCGAUUGUGGUGAAGUGGAUGAUCCUAUGCUGUCGAGAAAAGCCUCUAGCGAGUUUCAUGGCGGCCCGUACCCUAAACCGACUCAGGUGGUCAGGUAGAGAAUACCGAGGCGUUCGGGUGAACUAUGGUUAAGGAACUCGGCAAAAUGCCCCCCGUAACUUCGGGAGAAGGGGGGCCACGCCUGGUGAUCGGACUUGCUCCGUGAGCUGGGGGUGGCCGCAGAGACCAGCGAGAAGCGACUGUUUACUAAAAACACAGGUCCGUGCGAAGCCGUAAGGCGAUGUAUACGGACUGACGCCUGCCCGGUGCUGGAACGUUAAAGGGGACCGGUUAGCUCUGUUUCGACGGGGCGAAGCUGAGAACUUUCGGUGGGUAAUAAGUUCCGUGCACUGAACUGACGCGCUUCUAACCGCCGUUUACUGGCGCUUAAGUUCUCAGCUUCGCCCCGUCGAAACAGAGCU
rnacentral:rRNA from 1 species